rnacentral:rRNA from 1 species
GACGAACGCUGGCGGCGUGCUUAACACAUGCAAGUCGAACGGAGUGGCGAACGGGUGAGUAACACGUGGGUGAUCUGCCUUGCACUUCGGGAUAAGCUUGGGAAACUGGGUCUAAUACCGGAUAGUGCAAGAUGAGCUCGCGGCCUAUCAGCUUGUUGGUGGGGUAAUGGCCUACCAAGGCGUCGACGGGUAGCCGGCCUGAGAGGGUGUACGGGCACAGUGGGACUGGGGUAAGGGCCAGGCUCCUACGGGGGGCAGCAGGUGGGAAUAUUGCACAAUUGGGGGGAGUCUGAUGCAGGGACGCCGGGGGGGGGAUGAAGGCCUUCGGGUUGUAAACUCCUUUCGACAGGGACGCGGUACCUGUAUAAGAAGCACCGGCUAACUACGUGCCAGCAGCCGCGGUAAUAC